AACGAACGCUGGCGGCAUGCCUAACACAUGCAAGUCGAACGAGACCUUCGGGACUAGUUGCGCACGGGUGCGUAACGCGUGGGAACCUGCACUUAGGUUCGGAAUAACUCCCCGUAAGGGGUGCUAAUACCGGAUAAUGUCCUCGGACCAAAGAUUUAUCGCCUUUGGAUGGGCACGCGUUGGAUUAGCUAGUUGGUAGUGUAAGAGCCUACCAAGGAGACGAUCCAUAGCUGGUAUGAGAGGAUGAUCAGCCACACUGGGACUGAGACACGGCGCAGACUUCUGCUGGAGGCAGCAGUGUUUAAUAUUGCACAAUGGGCGAAAGCCUGAUCCAGCAAUGCCGCGUGAGUGAUGAAGGCCUUAGGGUUGUAAAGCUCGUUUACCCGCGAUGAUAAUGACAGUACCGGAAGAAUAAGCUCCGGCUAACUCCGUG
rnacentral:rRNA from 1 species